rnacentral:tRNA from 1 species
GGGGUAUUAGCUCAUUUGGUAGAGCGCUUCGCUGGCAGCGAAGAGGUGGCCGGUUCAAAUCCGGCAUACUCCACCA